rnacentral:hammerhead_ribozyme from 1 species
GCACUGCUGAGGAGUCCCAUAAUAGGACGAAACGGGCGUACAGUGC